CUUUCAGGGUCUUUUAGAAAAUUUCCUCUAUGUUUUUAUGGGAGAGCUUCCUGAAAUGAAUCUCUUCUGCCUAAGAAAGUGGAAUGUAAUAUUUCAGCUUAACUCAAUAUCCAAGACCAUCUGCCAAGGACUUCACUUUCUUCCUCUGCUGGAGGAUGUCAGUCUUUCUAGCAACUGAUUUGCAGCCGGCAAUUGUUCACCUUGGGCUGAGGACUAAAGUCCAAACGAAUCUGUUGACCUCAGCUGCAGCUGGUAAUUACUUCUUCGCUUGUUUGUUUCCUGUUGUGGAUUUCCAGCAUUCAAGUUGCACAGAUUCAAAAAUUUGGAAGGACAAAGGAAUAAGUAGUCACUCUUUGGAGAAAUGAACAAAUAGUUCCAAGUCAUCUGGGCUAAUCAAGCAGUCAC
rnacentral:lncRNA from 1 species